rnacentral:rRNA from 1 species
CCCUUAGAUGUCCGGGGCUGCACGCGCGCUACACUGAAGGAAUCAGCGUGCUAAAACCAUUGUCGAAAGGCAUUGGUAAACCCAUUAAAUUCCUACGUGAUUGGGAUCGGGAAUUGCAAUUAUUUCCCUUGAACGAGGAAUUCCCAGUAAGUGUGGGUCAUAAGCUCGCGUUGAUUACGUCCCUGCCCUUUGUACACACCGCCCGUCGCUGCCCGGGACUGAGCCGUUUCGAGAAAAGCGGGGACUGCUGCUGUCGGGGCUUUCGGGCCUUGGCUUCGGUGGAAACCGCUUUAAUCGCAGUGGCUUGAACCGGGCAAAAGUCGUAACA